rnacentral:rRNA from 1 species
AGUGAACGCUGGCGGUAGGCCUAACACAUGCAAGUCGAACGGCAGCACAGUAAGAGCUUGCUCUUACGGGUGGCGAGUGGCGGACGGGUGAGGAAUACAUCGGAAUCUACUUUUUCGUGGGGGAUAACGUAGGGAAACUUACGCUAAUACUGCAUACGACCUACGGGUGAAAGCAGGGGAUCUUCGGACCUUGCGCGAUUGAAUGAGCCGAUGUCGGAUUAGCUAGUUGGCGGGGUAAAGGCCCACCAAGGCGACGAUCCGUAGCUGGUCUGAGAGGAUGAUCAGCCACACUGGAACUGAGACACGGUCCAGACUCCGACGGGAGGCAGCAGUGGGGAAUAUUGGACAAUGGGCGCAAGCCUGAUCCAGCCAUACCGCGUGGGUGAAGAAGGCCUUCGGGUUGUAAAGCCCUUUUGUUGGGAAAGAAAAGCAGCAGGUUAAUACCCCGCUGUUCUGACGGUACCCAAAGAAUAAGCACCGGCUAACUGCGU